AACACGGAGAGUUUGAUCCUGGCUCAGGAUGAACGCUGGCGGUCUGCUUAACACAUGCAAGUCGAACGGAGUAGCAAUACUUAGUGGCGGACGGGUGAGUAACGCGUGAGAAUCUGGCUUCAGGACGGAGACAACAGUUGGAAACGACUGCUAACCCCCGAUGUACCGCAAGGGAAAAUAUUUAUAGCCUGAAGAUGAGCUCGCGUCCGAUUAGCUAGUUGGGGGGGUAAAAGCCCACCAAGGCGACGAUCGGUAGCUGGUCUGAGAGGACGAUCAGCCACACUGGGACUGAGACACGGCCCAGACUCCUACGGGAGGCAGCAGUGGGGAAUUUUCCGCAAUGGGCGCAA
rnacentral:rRNA from 2 species